AUUUAUAUAAUUUAACAAAAAUAUUAUAUUUUCAAUAUAAAAAUAAUUAAUUUAAUUUAUAAAUA
rnacentral:tRNA from 1 species